UUUUUUUUUUUUUUUUUUUUUGGUACUCCCCUGUCUAGCUGAUUGGGGAAACCCAUGAGGUCAUAGGAGUGAGCUGAUGCAGAGGUGUUAGGGUGAGAGAAGGAAGUGAUACAGGGAACUUGAGCACCUGUCCAUGGAAAAGAAACAGCUUAAAUUCAGUCCCCAGAGUAACAUCUCCAUUCUAAUGUUGAGUGGUGCUGAAACUUACCUGACCUUAAAAAUUGGUGAGAAUGACAUUCCCAGUUUAUGAGGGGCAGUUUAGCCACACAACUACUUAAUUCCUCAUAAGCAUGUCUAUCAGGACCCUGUGACAUUAUGGAAGCUUCAUUUUGAACAGUACAGUUUUGGGGUUUCGAUUUCUUUCCUUGUUUUCUGGGCAUUUCAUGGUCUUGCUCUAGAACCCUAGAGAUUUCUGCUGUGACUGUUUUUUUUUUUAUUUUGAAGUUUGCAAGAGAGUUCACAAAGUGCCCCUAUCUAAUGCAGAUGCAUCUAGCACCAAGCUGUGUGCUGGAUCAUUUGUCUCAGGUGACAGAGCCACUUGUAUCAAAACCCAAAACCUGCAUCAAAACCUUUCCCUUCUCUGAGCUAACUCCAAAGAGAUAGCCUUCCAAGUUAGUUUAAUAAAUGGGAUGAUGUAGUUGACCCAGGCAUGGAAUUUGUUGUGUCAACACUCUAGUGAGGCCUUAUCAACACUGUGCUGCAUUCUCAGUGGUCGGAGAUGUAAGGUGCAAUUAUUUGUCCUUGCCUUGAAGAGGAUGACUCACAUUCCUUUCCUAAAGAUGACAUCUUCCCCAGUAUGACAGGCUUUUCAAAUUUGGGGGAUUGCUUUUCACCCUCUAGAGCACAUGUGUUUUCACAAUAAAUCCAGAGUCCUUAUAAUGUCCAGUUCAUCAUGUCUAAUCAAGAUGGUGACAUCAAUAUAGUGCUAUAUAGAGUGAUACUUUGUGAAGUGUCCACAGGAUCAAAGUUUCUUCAGCCCUCAUUGUGACAAAGAGCAGGAGAGUUAACAAAGCCCUGGGCCAAGACUGUGGAUGUGAGUGGCUGUUCACCCCAGAUGACUGCAGACCCUCCCACAGGCUGUGAUGGACUCUGCCUUCACUCUGCAGGUGGGCCCUGGGUGUGGUCAAGCCCUGCUGGAGCCACAGCAUCGCUCAUCUGCAGGUGGCAGCUGAGGGCGCCUCUCACCCUCACAGAAGGGGCGGGGAGGGCACUCUUCUGACAACAGUGAUGUCUGUGUAUUUAAACCCAUAUGGGGUCAUCCUCAUAAUUGCAUAUAUCAUUCUUCUUACAUUGAAGUGGUCCUAUAUGUUAUAACAGACUAUUUCUCAGAAUGUGGCAUGAGCAAAACUGACAAGUCAAGGCAGCAAGAUGUUGCCAUCACAACUCCUUGGGUUUCUGCUGCUCUGGGAUCUAGGUGAGAAUAUUUCCACAAAGCUAGAUGGGGAUAUAAUUUCAAUCCAUAAUUUUGGGAACCCUGCACUGUGUGAAUUUUGGUUUGCUUUUUAUAUCCACAAUUUUAAUUCAUUUUCUUUCCUGUUGCCUAACUACAUUAGUGGUGACUUCCACAUACAUAGAGUUCUGCUGUGCUAAUGUUUGCUGUGUAUUUUCAGUCUCCAGGUGUGAGGUUGUGCUGACCUAGGCUCCAACCUUCCUGUCUGUUACUCCAGGGGAGACAGUCACCAUCACCUGCUGGAUGCCAGUGGCAACAUUGUGUGGACCCUGUCUCCAGCCCCUAUCCCUGUGUCCCAGGUGAGAGGGUCACCAGCUGGGCUGACCAGGGUAUGAACAGCAUCCUAGUCCAGCUUCAGCGGAACUGAGGCCUGGUUCUGAGCUCCUGAUGCCCCCUGGAGACCAUGCCUGCUCUGGUCAUUCUGGCUAUCAGCAUCCAGACUGCCUUCAGGGGGCAUGUGCCCCCUCCUCCUGUCAUUACUGGUACACAAAUCUCACCCCAGCUGCUCAUCUGCCUGGGGUCUGCUGAAGAUCUGGGGCCUUCUCAGUGGAGCAGAAUGGGAGGCAGCUCUGAAACCACAAACUCCCUUCUCUUCCCACCUACUUCCCACCUUCUGUAUGGGAACUUCCAGUGCAUCUGGUGAGCAUCACGGAGUGGAGAAUGUCAAUGUGUUUUCUCCCACAUCCUGCUCUGAAUUUAUGAGGCCAAUUCAUCCUCACCUCACACACGAGCUGCCCUUGUCUUCAGGGAUUCGAUCCUUGUUUCUCUCACAUCCUGGCACAGUGUUGACAGCUUAGUUCUCACUUCACUCCAUGAAUCCUUUGGGAAACAUCAUGGUCAACAAAUCGUGGUGCUUGGAUAACAGACAAUAAAAUAACAAGUAUUCAGAAGUUUGUGCAUGGGGGAGAAAUGACCCAUUCUGAACAGUGUCUCAAUAGCUGGGUGAGCCAUAGAAGCUGGUUAGAGAGAUCCCAUAUGGCUCCAAUCAAAGGGGAGGCUGCUAACGAGCUGUGGGGUGCUUUUGUCCUGUGAUCACCCCUGUAAUCCUGUCUUAUAAGCCACAUAUGACCUAAUUCUAUGAGCCACAUGUGCUGCUCUGUCCAUCAGGGGCCCAGGGGAGGAAAAGUCCACGGUAAGCUCUGGGCACAAAACAUCCCUCUACCGGGAGCCGAGGCCCACUCCCUACCUCCUCCGCACCUGCUGCUUCAUGUUCUCCAGACUCCCAUUGAAUCUCUCAGCAUCCAAAGCCAUCUAUGAGUCAGUGCUUGACCCAGCAAGGAAAUGAGGGGGGUUCUGAGCCUCCUGACCUUUGGGCUCUGUAGUGGGGAAGGGGCCAUGGGGUGGGGCACCAUUGCUGGGUUUUCAUGUUCAAGCUCAACUUAUCAAAGUUUAAAACCAUACCUUAGAACAACAAUUAAUAUUAUAUUUAUUUACAUGAAAUGGCAUAUUAUAUUUAUUAUGUAUGCACAGUAUAUACAAAUGUAUUAAUACAACUUAUAUCUGAAAUGUCAUAGAUAUAUAUUUAAUUUGUAAGGUAUGUUACAAAUACAUAUAUACAGGUACAAAUAAUUUACUUUUAUUUAUUUAGCAUGUGCUUCCUUUCCUUCUAACUAUAACAGAGUCUGGCUGAGUAAAGACUCUGGAGACGUUGGAUGACCCUCCCUCCUUUGCACUAGCAGGGUCCCCGCCACUCAGUAUCAGUGAGGACAAGACUGAGGAGAGCUGGCCUAGGAUCCCAGGCCCUGCCCCAUGGUUUUUGUCUCUUACACUUUUACCCUGGAUGCAGGGUUCCUGACAGAGGUUGCAUUUGGAAGGUUUACAAAGAAAGGCUUCCAGAGUGUUAGUUCUGGAUUCUGAGGAGGGUAAGUGGAAGGUGGGUCUGGAUUUCCAGCAUGGAGGAGGCCAGACCAAGUCUUAGGAAAGGCUCUAGUGUGGGAAGAAAGGACUUAAAACUCAGACCUGUGGCCACAGCCUUAGGAACCCAAGAGUGGACACUAACAAAAUGGGCUCGGGGAAAACGCAGACUAAAGAUGUUAUAGUCAACUGUAAUCUUAUCUUUCAAAUGCUACACAUAAAUAUUGGUGGGAGAUUUUAUGGUGAAAAUAACACACAAUGAGCCCCACUGCCUACAGUCAGUUACCUGUUUGUUGUAGAAUAACUAUUGAAAAAUUUGAUUUUAAAUCACAUCUGGCUACUAACAUAUUGCACAGCCUCUUAAUUCUAUGAUACUCAAGAGUGCAUAAAAUAAAAAGGGACUGGAGAUAUAUA